rnacentral:rRNA from 1 species
AUUGAACGCUGGCGGCAUGCCUUACACAUGCAAGUCGAACGGCAGCACGGAGCUUGCUCUGGUGGCGAGUGGCGAACGGGUGAGUAAUAUAUCGGAACGUACCCUGGAGUGGGGGAUAACGUAGCGAAAGUUACGCUAAUACCGCAUACGAUCUAAGGAUGAAAUGGGGGAUCGCAAGACCUCAUGCUCGUGGAGCGGCCGAUAUCUGAUUAGCUAGUUGGUAGGGUAAAAGCCUACCAAGGCAUCGAUCAGUAGCUGGUCUGAGAGGACGACCAGCCACACUGGAACUGAGACACGGUCCAGACUCCUACGGGAGGCAGCAGUGGGGAAUUUUGGACAAUGGGCGCAAGCCUGAUCCAGCAAUGCCGCGUGAGUGAAGAAGGCCUUCGGGUUGUAAAGCUCUUUUGUCAGGGAAGAAACGGUGAGAGCUAAUAUCUUUUGCUAAUGACGGUACCUGAAGAAUAAGCACCGGCUAACUACGUG